AUCGUAGAAUGACUCUCGGCAACGGAUAUCUAGGCUCUUGCAUCGAUGAAGAACGUAGCGAAAUGCGAUACUUGGUGUGAAUUGCAGAAUCCCGUGAACCAUCGAGUCUUUGAACGCAAGUUGCGCCCGAUGCCAUUAGGUUGAGGGCACGUCUGCCUGGGUGUCACAU
rnacentral:rRNA from 1 species